GCUAACGUUGUUACUGAAGCUAACGUGACUGAAGCUAACGUUGUUACUGAAGCUAACGUUGUUACUGAAGCUAACGUUGUUACUGAAGCUAACGUGACUGAAGCUAAUGUUGUUACUGAAGCUAAGGUCACUGAUGAAGCUGAUGUUGUUACUGAAGCUAAGGUCACUGAUGAAGCUAAGGUCACUGAUUGUAACGUGACUGAAGCUAAUGUUGUUACUGAAGCUAACGUGACUGAAGCUAAGGUCACUGAUGAAGCUAAGGUCACUGAUGAAGCUAAGGUCACUGAUGGUAACGUGACUGAAGCUAAGGUCACUGAUGAAGCUAAGGUCACUGAUGGUAACGUGACUGAAGCUAAGGUCACUGAUGAAGCAAAGGUCACUGAUGGUAACGUGACUGAAGCUAAGGUCACUGAUGAAGCUAAGGUCACUGAUGGUAACGUGACUGAAGCUAAGGUCACUGAUGAAGCUAAGGUCACUGAUGGUAACGUGACUGAAGCUAAGGUCACUGAUGAAGCAAAGGUCACUGAUGGUAACGUGACUGAAGCUAAGUCAAUGCCGUAUUUGGCAACAUAGGCAGUGUUAUAUCUUGUGAACUGAUCACGUCCGUUUGUGAACGUGAACUCAUGCAAUGCUGUGCUAAACUCAAUAUAUAAAACCAGAAUCCACAUUAUAAAGAAAGGUAGCGAGGAAUCUGUGACAGGCAGGACUUAAGUUUCAUUUGCACUUUCCAGCCGAGCUUUUUAUAGGCACACUGCUGAGUGGUAAACAUGGAUUAUCCAUGAAGGAAAACAAAUUCUGCCACGGGAGGGACUUGUAAAGUAAGUAUGCUUUCAAUAGAUAUGUUAAUAGAUAACAUUUAUUAAUUUACAAAACGCAAAGUGAGUGAACAGAGGAAAAAUCUAAAUCAAAUCAAUGUGGUGUGACCACCGUUUGCGUUCAAAACAGCAUCAGUUCUUCUAGGUAGUUUUUGAAGGAACUCUACCCACAAUCCUUCUGUGGAUUUGGGCAGCUUCAGUUGCUGGAUAAAAAAAAAAACAAUUAAAUGCUGCCACGAACCACAAAAGAUCCCACAGUAUUUAACAUGUUAACAAGUUAAUGCUAGUUGGCUACAACUUGUGUCGACUUAUA